AUUGAACGCUGGCGGCAUGCUUUACACAUGCAAGUCGAACGGCAGCGCGGGCUUCGGCCUGGCGGCGAGUGGCGAACGGGUGAGUAAUGCAUCGGAACGUGCCCAGUAGUGGGGGAUAGCCCGGCGAAAGCCGGAUUAAUACCGCAUACGACCUGAGGGUGAAAGCGGGGGACCGAAAGGCCUCGCGCUAUUGGAGCGGCCGAUGUCGGCUUAGCUAGUUGGUGGGGUAAAGGCUUACCAAGGCGACGAUCCGUAGCUGGUCUGAGAGGACGACCAGCCACACUGGGACUGGGACACGGCCCAGACUCCUACGGGAGGCAGCAGUGGGGAAUUUUGGACAAUGGGGGCAACCCUGAUCCAGCCAUGCCGCGUGCGGGAAGAAGGCCUUCGGGUUGUAAACCGCUUUUGUUCGGGAAGAAAUCCUCUGGGCUAAUACCCCGGGGGGAUGACGGUACCGGAAGAAUAAGCACCGGCUAACUACGUG
rnacentral:rRNA from 1 species